AACGCGAUUGGAAGAAAAGGAUUUACCGAGGUAAUAUUUCGAGUAACAUUUUUUCAAGUAACAAAAAAGAAGUAAACAACCCAAAACCGAAACGGCCGUCUUGGAUAUGAAAGUGAGUGCUAGAGGACUAUGACCUGGUAUGCGGUUUCUAAUAUUUUGGCAGCAAGUACUUUUAGCUGAAAAUUCAAUCCCCGAAAUUUUCUGAUUGAUGUGUAAAGGAGAAACAUCAGGCCAAACUGGAUCAAGCAAUAUGAGGAUUUUAUUAAAAGUUUUCAAGAUUAAGCGCUGAAUCAGCAGAUUGAUAGUUUAUUACAAACAUGGUAGAAGAAUUAGAUAAAAAAAUUUUAUUAUUACUUUUUUUUCUUCUGAAAUCGACUAAUUUAUAAUGCUUGAAUGAGAAAGUCAUUAAAUUGAUGAAAUUGUUCUAACGUUUUCCAAUAGUAUAGUGAAGGCGUACAUUGUCAUUGAAAUGUC